UACGGAGGGUGCAAGCGUUAAUCGGAAUUACUGGGCGGAAAGCGUGCGCAGGCGGUUUGUUAAGUCCGUUGUGAAAUCCCCGAGCUCAACUUGGGAAUUGCAAUGGAUACUGGCAAGCUGGAGUAUGGUAGAGGAAGGUGGAAUUCCCGGUGUAGCAGUGAAAUGCGUAGAGAUCGGGAGGAACACCAGUGGCGAAGGCGGCCUUCUGGACCAAUACUGACGCUCAUGCACGAAAGCGUGGGGAGCGAACAGG
rnacentral:rRNA from 1 species